rnacentral:lncRNA from 1 species
AGACCGUCACGGUGACUUGCAAGCACCUCACUGCACUUAGGCACUGGACUACCUGAAUUUUUAAUUCAGUGACGGAAGGCUGUUGGGUGUAGUCAAGUACUUGACUUAUCGGUGCAUGUGUCAAGAUAGGAUUGACCACUCCAGUUUAGGAGCUAUGUACAGUCGUGUUUCAAUUUAGCAAAACCUUAGUCAGGGUAGUCCUUGUGAGGAGUCAUAGAACUAUUUGAGUUGAGCACGAUUCGGAUGAUCUG